ensembl:lncRNA
GUUAUGAGGUGUAAGAGUUGUGAGGUGUUACAGUUAUGAGGUGUUACAGUUGUGAAGUGUUGUAGUUAUGAGGUGUUACAGUUAUGAGGUGUUACAGUUGUGAAGUGUUGUAGUUGUGAGGUGUUACAGUUAUGAGGUGUUAUCGUUAUAUCAGUGGUCUGCUACUGUAUUAAUAAAAUAUCUACUGAAAAAAACCUGGGUGCAGGUUUUCAUUCCAACCAAGAAGAAGCCAAGAAGAAGAAGUCUAUUGAAAGCCAAGAUCAACUGAUUAAACAGGUGGAAUCAGGUGUGGCUCCUGCUUGGUUGGAAUGAAAACCUGCACCCACACCGGCCCUUUCUG